GGACGGGUGAGUAAUGCCUAGGAAAUUGCCCUGAUGUGGGGGAUAACCAUUGGAAACGAUGGCUAAUACCGCAUGAUGCCUACGGGCCAAAGAGGGGGACCUUCGGGCCUCUCGCGUCAGGAUAUGCCUAGGUGGGAUUAGCUAGUUGGUGAGGUAAGGGCUCACCAAGGCGACGAUCCCUAGCUGGUCUGAGAGGAUGAUCAGCCACACUGGAACUGAGACACGGUCCAGACUCCUACGGGAGGCAGCAGUGGGGAAUAUUGCACAAUGGGCGCAAGCCUGAUGCAGCCAUGCCGCGUGUGUGAAGAAGGCCUUCGGGUUGUAAAGCACUUUCAGUCGUGAGGAAGGUAGUGUAGUUAAUAGCUGCAUUAUUUGACGUUAGCGACAGAAGAAGCACCGGCUAACUCCGUGCCAGCAGCCGCGGUAAUACGGAGGGUGCGAGCGUUAAUCGGAAUUACUGGGCGUAAAGCGCAUGCAGGUGGUUUGUUAAGUCAGAUGUGAAAGCCCGGGGCUCAACCUCGGAAUUGCAUUUGAAACUGGCAGACUAGAGUACUGUAGAGGGGGGUAGAAUUUCAGGUGUAGCGGUGAAAUGCGUAGAGAUCUGAAGGAAUACCGGUGGCGAAGGCGGCCCCCUGGACAGAUACUGACACUCAGAUGCGAAAGCGUGGGGAGCAAACAGGAUUAGAUACCCUGGUAGUCCACGCCGUAAACGAUGUCUACUUGGAGGUUGUGGCCUUGAGCCGUGGCUUUCGGAGCUAACGCGUUAAGUAGACCGCCUGGGGAGUACGGUCGCAAGAUUAAAACUCAAAUGAAUUGACGGGGGCCCGCACAAGCGGUGGAGCAUGUGGUUUAAUUCGAUGCAACGCGAAGAACCUUACCUACUCUUGACAUCCAGAGAACUUUCCAGAGAUGGAUUGGUGCCUUCGGGAACUCUGAGACAGGUGCUGCAUGGCUGUCGUCAGCUCGUGUUGUGAAAUGUUGGGUUAAGUCCCGCAACGAGCGCAACCCUUAUCCUUGUUUGCCAGCGAGUAAUGUCGGGAACUCCAGGGAGACUGCCGGUGAUAAACCGGAGGAAGGUGGGGACGACGUCAAGUCAUCAUGGCCCUUACGAGUAGGGCUACACACGUGCUACAAUGGCGCAUACAGAGGGCAGCCAACUUGCGAAAGUGAGCGAAUCCCAAAAAGUGCGUCGUAGUCCGGAUUGGAGUCUGCAACUCGACUCCAUGAAGUCGGAAUCGCUAGUAAUCGUGGAUCAGAAUGCCACGGUGAAUACGUUCCCGGGCCUUGUACACACCGCCCGUCACACCAUGGGAGUGGGCUGCAAAAGAAGUAGGUAGUUUAACCUUCGGGGGGACGCUUACCACUUUGUGGUUCAUGACUGGGGUGAAGUCGUAACAAGGUAGCGCUAGGGGAACC
rnacentral:rRNA from 1 species